rnacentral:rRNA from 1 species
GACGAACGCUGGCGGCGUGCCUAAUACAUGCAAGUCGAACGAGUGGCGGACGGGUGAGUCAUGUAUGGGGAUCUGCCCGGUAGAGGGGGAUACCUACUGGAAACGGUGGCUAAUACCGCAUACUAACGGUUGAACCCAUAUGGGAUUAGCUAGUAGGUGGGGUAAAGGCGCACCUAGGCGACGAUCUCUAGCUGGUUUGAGAGGAGUAUCAGCCACACUGGGACUGAGACACGGCCCAUACUCCUACGGGAGGCAGCAGUGGGGAAUAUUGCACAAUGGGCGCAAGCCUGAUGCAGCCAUGCCGCGUGUAUGAAGAAGGCCUUAGGGUUGUAAAGUACUUUCAGCGGGGAGGCGUUACCCGCAGAAGAAGCACCGGCUAACUCCGUGCCAGCCGCCGCGGUAAUUC